AGUUUGUCAUGGCUCAGAUUGAACGCUGGCGGCAGGCCUAACACGUGCAAGUCGAAUGGUAACAGGAAACAGCUUGCUGUUUCGCUGACGAGUGGCGGACGGGUGAGUAAUGUCUGGGAAACUGCCUGAUGGAGGGGGAUAACUACUGGAAACGGUAGCUAAUACCGCAUAACGUCGCAAGACCAAAGAGGGGGGACCUUCGGGCCUCUUGCCAUCAGAUGUGCCCAGAUGGGAUUAGCUAGUAGGUGGGGUAACGGCUCACCUAGGCGACGAUCCUUAGCUGGUCUGAGAGGAUGACCAGCCACACUGGAACUGAGACACGGUCCAGACUCCUACGGGAGGCAGCAGUGGGGAAUAUUGCACAAUGGGCGCAAGCCUGAUGCAGCCAUGCCGCGUGUAUGAAGAAGGCCUUCGGGUUGUAAAGUACUUUCAGCGGGGAGGAAGGGAGUAAAGUUAAUACCUUUGCUCAUUGACGUUACCCGCAGAAGAAGCACCGGCUAACUCCGUG
rnacentral:rRNA from 1 species